rnacentral:lncRNA from 1 species
GAUUUGAUUUCUAGCUUUCUCAAACAAAAUGACUGAGGCCUUCUUCCACAGUGGUGUAUUUCACUUCAGGGUAGAGCUCAGAAGCUUCGUAUCCGAAUGAUGGAUCGAUCUCGAAGUUGGUGCAGUCACCAUUGACAAAGAUUGAGUGACUGAUGGCCAACACAAUAUUGAUUGGGAUUGGAGACUCUGCAAGAAUUUGAUAAAAUGCAUGAAUAAAUAACCAAAGUAUAAUAAGAUUCCUAUGAACAAAUCCAAAAUAAGAGCAGGAGAUUUUAUCAACCUUGGAUCUGUUUGAGAAGUUGGUCCUCAGGAACAUAUGUUUUCUCAAGGGCUUUGCCAAUCAACUUCUCCCACAGGGCGAUGAGCUCGUUAAAUGAGUAGGUGUUCUUGGGAGGCUUGAUGAAUAGAGUCUUGUUCGCUGUUCUGGGGUCAUCGACAGCUUUGAUGGUGUACGUUCCGAUGUCAGCUUCAUGGUUGAAAA